ACAUCCAGAGAACUUAGCAGAGAUGCUUUGGUGCCUUCGGGAACUCUGAGACAGGUGCUGCAUGGCUGUCGUCAGCUCGUGUUGUGAAAUGUUGGGUUAAGUCCCGNAACGAGCGCAACCCUUAUCCUUUGUUGCCAGCGGCUCGGCCGGGAACUCAAAGGAGACUGCCGGUGAUAAACCGGAGGAAGGUGGGGAUGACGUCAAGUCAUCAUGGCCCUUACGGCCAGGGCUACACACGUGCUACAAUGGCGCAUACAAAGAGAAGCGACCUCGCGAGAGCAAGCGGACCUCAUAAAGUGCGUCGUAGUCCGGAUUGGAGUCUGCAACUCGACUCCAUGAAGUCGGAAUCGCUAGUAAUCGUAGAUCAGAAUGCUACGGUGAAUACGUUCCCGGGCCUUGUACACACCGCCCGUCACACCAUGGGAGUGGGUUGCAAAAGAAGUAGGUAGCUUAACCUUCGGGAGGGCGCUUACCACUUUGUGAUUCAUGACUGGGGUAAAGUCGUAACAAGGUAGGCGUAGCGAG
rnacentral:rRNA from 1 species